rnacentral:misc_RNA from 1 species
ACUAUAUGCAGUAUACAUGAAAAUCGAUUCUAGAGAAAUUCAUAUUGUACCAGUGAAAUAUUACAAGUUCAUACCAGAAGGCUAUUAUAACAAUGUUCAAGAAUUUUUAGGCAAGUGAAUUAGAAACAUAAUAAUGCGAAAACUCAAAGGAAAAAUUUCACCCCUCAGCUUCAAAGUGAUAACAGUACAAUGCCUAAGUUUUUGUUAAAAUACAACGCCACCGAUGUUUGCUACAGUUUUAUUCUCUUCAAACCAUGAUUAAACCGACUAGCAGCACUUUCAAGAUGCCAACCUAAAACCAAUUUAAGCUCCAGUAACUCCUGCUGUGCACCAAUUAUUGCCAUCACAGACGGGAGAGAAUUGGAAGUCGCAUAUAUAGAAGAACAGAAGGUGCAAGUCUAGACAUAACUGCAUAUAAUCACAAAAUGUUCAAAGAAACUAAAGCUACAUAACACCAAAAACAAAGAGAGAUAGAGAGAAGAGGACGACGCUUGAUUGGUAAAAGUGGACUCUUCGCCACCACGCAGCGAUCCACCCUUGCUGGUACAGCCUCAACAAUUACUCUCCCCACUCGGCACAUUCAGAAAGCAUGGAGAUGCGGAAGGCGGCUUACACUGGAGAUUGGUUAUGGUAGACUUCAAUAACUGAUCACCCACUAUCAACCUCAGCCUUCUAAUGAAAUCAUUCCGGGAAAUUUUUUUGCUCCUGAACAAGUCAUAAUGUGCAUGAACCAAUUUCAAAUCUUUUGGAGACACUUUAGCUGAAAUAGCUCCGAAUAACAUAGAGAAAGGCAUCCAGGGGGAUUUAGGUGAUUUAUUGGUACCCACACCAACACCAUGGGAUUGCUGUAUGUUUCUUACAAAUUGAUAUUGCUGACAGUUCCCCAAUUCUGUAGGCAAUUUAUUCAAGUCCAAUCGCUCCUCAGAUCCCUGAGAAGUAACUCUGGAGACAUCAAGCCGACUUUCUUCCUUUAUUGGAGCCCCUUCUGCUCCUGAAGACAUCCUGAAGCUCACGACAUAUUCAGGAUAUAUGUGUGUAUUCAUAUUCAUGUUCCAAACAGUAUAGUGAGUAGGACUCUCGAGAUCAUCAACACCACUAUCAUAUCUCUCAUUGCUUGGAUAAGAUUGAUGAGAGCCAAAAUGCAAAAGUUCUUCAUUGCCCAAAAUGACACGACAAAGAACCAUGUAACGGAUGCCAUUUUCGUCAAUAUCACAGCUAGCGGCACUUUUAGAGGCACAGUCCUGGGCAAUGAGGUGCACUCCAACACCAAGCUUAGUCUUCUGUCCACAGGCCCCAUGCAUAAGCCCAUAGUUCAUAAUUGUAGAUACUACCUCUUUGGAAGCGGCAAGCCAAGCAUGCCGAACAUUGGAUUUCCCACGAUACUUUUGAGUUAUCUCAGCCUGCUUCUCAAACAGUUCCAAGCGAUUUCUCAUAUAUUUACUUGAGCAUUGACUAAUUUUGACUAUAUCCACCAUAUAGAUGGUAUUCAUUCCCUUAACAAACAUAGUUUUAACCGAUUCUGCAUCCACCAACUUAAGUGUAUCUUCUAAUAUAGGAGACAGACUUUCCUGAUCCUGUUGAUUUUCUGCCACUACUUCCAUUUUAGGAUAUGAUUUUUGAUCAACAGCAAAUUGUUGAUUAUCUUUUAAAGGAUCGACUUUAAUCCUUUUAACACGGACAUUUGACUCUUCCAUACCUUCAUCCAAUUUGCAAUUGUUCGGUCCAUUAAUAUCUAUUUCAAGAUGCAACUUGAUAUUAGUAGCCCUAUCUGGCUCAGCAGCACUGAAUCCUUCAGUUCUCUGCGAUUGUAUCUCAAUGUUGUCGUGCGCUUUACAACUAACGAGACAUAAAUCAGGGAAGAAACAGCCACCUGCUUCGUCUAUCCAGGCAAUAGGUUUCUCCAAUCCGGUAACCAAAUUUACCUGAACCAUAUAUAGAAUAUCAAGUAUUACAUGAAAGCCACCAAAGUUCACCUCAAUCACAGCCUUCUUUGCACGGAAAUCUUCUUUGACAAUACGAACAAUAUCUUGAGGGAAAUCAUUCCAUUCACCAUUCUGAUGAUAUAAAACACGUUGUGGCAGUCCACUUUUAAUGAAAUUUGAGUAGUUCUUAACUGUCGAUUUCCUGAGAUGUGAUCUGCAAUUAGUUUCACCUUCCACAGUCCUCUUCCUCUUACCAAGCGUGCUAUAAAAUGAGCUACAAUUUGGUUGAAAUGAUAGCUCCUCCAGCUUCUCAGUGCCAGCUCCAACUAUACGUGCCACGUACUGAGACGCUACUUUACUUUUUGAGUCGACGUCAGCUGUCCUACGGUCAUUAUCUAACACUUCAACCCAGUUUGACUCCAUUUAUCUACAGGCAACUACUAUUUACAAAUUUCUAACAGAAAGACUAAAUCCUAAACUAGUAUAGCACAGGUCUGUCAUAACAAAUUUCUGAGAAGCCGCAUCAUGGAGAACGAAAUGCAAAACCAAAUUCUGCAAUGAGUGGCCAUCUCGGUAGAAGCACGUUCUCUCCAUAAUGUUGAUGUCAAGUCAACAAAUUUCCCUUUGUACAAAGGUAACUUACGCGCUAAUUUAAUUCACCUCCUCUUUCAUAGAUCAAACGCCGUCGUCUUUAUCUUUGUCGUCGUCUCGGAGAAAGAACAAAGGAUACAGGGAUAACUGAGAAACAAACGAUCAAACAAAGCAACGGAGAUCUCGAGACGACGGCGUUGAUACGGAGAUGGAAUUCACUGAAUAGCUUGUGAAAUUCAUCAGCUAAAUUAUUAUUAUUAUAAUUAAUAAUAAAGAUAACAUUUAUAGUUUGUGAGAAAAAUUCAACACUUUGAAUAUUGUAAGUUACUUGGGCGAAAAGAAAGAAAAUAAAU